rnacentral:rRNA from 1 species
UGCUGCAUGGCUGUCGUCAGCUCGUGCCGUGAGGUGUUAGGUUAAGUCCUGCAACGAGCGCAACCCUGUUUCCAGUUGCCAUCAAGUAAAGUUGGGGACGUCUGGAGAGACUGCCUGCGCAAGCAGAGAGGAAGGUGGGGAUGACGUCAAGUCAGCACGGCCCUUACGUCCAGGGCUACACACGUGCUACAAUGGCCGGUACAGAGGGCAGCGACCUGGUGACAGGUAGCGAAUCUCCAAAGCCGGUCUCAGUUCGGAUCGGAGUCUGCAACUCGACUCCGUGAAGCUGAAUUCGCUAGCAAUCGGAUAUCAGCAAUGAUCCGGUGAAUACGUUCCCGGGCCUU